AACUAACGCUGGCGGCGUGCCUAACACAUGCAAGUCGUACGAGAAAGUUGGCUUCGGCCGAUGAGUAAAGUGGCGCACGGGUGAGUAAUGCGUGGAUAAUCUGCCCUUUAGUUGGGAAUAACGUACCGAAAGGUGCGCUAAUACCUGAUAAUACUGCAUAACUACUGUUGUGUAGUCAAAGAAGGCCUCUGUUUACAAGCUUUUGCUGAAGGAUGAGUCCGCGUACCAUUAGCUGGUUGGUGGGGUAAUGGCCUACCAAGGCUACGAUGGUUAGCUGGUCUGAGAGGAUGAUCAGCCACACUGGACUGAGACACGGCCCAGACUCCUACGGGAGGCAGCAGUGGGGAAUUUUGGACAAUGGGCGCAAGCCUGAUCCAGCCAUGCCGCGUGCAGGAUGAAGGCCUUCGGGUUGUAACUGCUUUUGUACGGUAACGAAAAGACUCUCUCUAAUACAGGGGUGAAUGACGGUACCGUAAGAAUAAGCACCGGCUAACUACG
rnacentral:rRNA from 1 species